UNUGAAGUUAAAGGCUGUGGCUUAACCAUAGUACGCUUUGGAAACUGUUUAACUUGAGUGCAGAAGGGGAGAGUGGAAUUCCAUGUGUAGCGGUGAAAUGCGUAGAUAUAUGGAGGAACACCGGUGGCGAAAGCGGCUCUCUGGUCUGUAACUGACGCUGAGGCUCGAAAGCGUGGGGAGCGAACAGGAUUAGAUACCCUGGUAGUNCACGCCGUAAACGAUGAGUGCUAGGUGUUAGGCCCUUUCCGGGGCUUAGUGCCGCAGCUAACGCAUUAAGCACUCCGCCUGGGGAGUACGACCGCAAGGUUGAAACUCAAAGGAAUUGACGGGGGCCCGCACAAGCGGUGGAGCAUGUGGUUUAAUUCGAAGCAACGCGAAGAACCUUACCAGGUCUUGACAUCCCGAUGCCCGCUCUAGAGAUAGAGUUUUACUUCGGUACAUCGGUGACAGGUGGUGCAUGGUUGUCGUCAGCUCGUGUCGUGAGAUGUUGGGUUAAGUCCCGCAACGAGCGCAACCCUUAUUGUUAGUUGCCAUCAUUCAGUUGGGCACUCUAGCGAGACUGCCGGUAAUAAACCGGAGGAAGGUGGGGAUGACGUCAAAUCAUCAUGCCCCUUAUGACCUGGGCUACACACGUGCUACAAUGGCUGGUACAACGAGUCGCAAGUCGGUGACGGCAAGCUAAUCUCUUAAAGCCAGUCUCAGUUCGGAUUGUAGGCUGCAACUCGCCUACAUGAAGUCGGAAUCGCUAGUAAUCGCGGAUCAGCACGCCGCGGUGAAUACGUUCCCGGGCCUUGUACACACCGCCCGUCACACCACGAGAGUUUGUAACACCCGAAGUCGGUGAGG
rnacentral:rRNA from 1 species